rnacentral:lncRNA from 1 species
GUGUUUAUCCGAAGCACUCGAGAGAAGAAAAGUUAGCUCCGAGUGGCCUCUUAUGGGGCUGCCUUUGGAGCAGUAGAGGGCAUGCUCCUCGUCCUUAUUGCUAAAGAAGAAGAUGAAACGUCGAGGGGAAUAUUAUGGGUCCUGCAUGUAGGAGACAAUUCGUUAGGUACACGUACGCCAUCUCUUUGCAUGGAAAGAAUGGCGGUGGCUCUAGAGACGGUGAAAGUGCUCUGUUAAAACAUUUCCGGACCGGCUCCAGUGCUGGUACUAUUCUAAGAAAAUUAUGAUUCUCAAAUUUACAUGGAUAUAUAUAUAUAUAUAUAUAUAUAUAUGCUUUGU